GUUGUAUAGUCAAGUAAUUAAGUGCAUGUGGUGGAUGCCUUGGCAGUCAGAGGCGAUGAAAGACGUGAUAGCCUGCGAAAAGCUCCGGGGAGGCGGCAAAUAUCCUUUGAUCCGGAGAUGUCUGAAUGGGGGAACCCACCUACUUUAAGGUAGGUAUUGCAACAUGAAUACAUAGUGUUGCAAGGCGAACGAGGGGAAGUGAAACAUCUCAGUACCCUUAGGAAAAGAAAUCAAUUGAGAUUCCCUCAGUAGCGGCGAGCGAACGGGGAUCAGCCCAUUAAGUUAUGUGUGUUUUAGUGGAACGCUCUGGGAAGUGCGAACGUAGAGGGUGAUAUUCCCGUACACGAAAGGGCACACAUAAUGAUGACGAGUAGGGCGAGGCACGUGAAACCUUGUCUGAAUAUGGGGGGACCAUCCUCCAAGGCUAAAUACUCCUGACUGACCGAUAGUGAACCAGUACCGUGAGGGAAAGGCGAAAAGAACCCCUGUGAGGGGAGUGAAAUAGAUCCUGAAACCGCAUGCAUACAAGCAGUGGGAGCACCUUCGUGGUGUGACUGCGUACCUUUUGUAUAAUGGGUCAGCGACUUAUAUUCAGUAGCAAGGUUAACCGUAUAGGGGAGCCGUAGAGAAAUCGAGUCUUAAUAGGGCGUUUAGUUGCUGGGUAUAGACCCGAAACCAGGCGAUCUAUCCAUGAGCAGGUUGAAGGUUGGGUAACACUAACUGGAGGACCGAACCCACUGUCGUUGAAAAGCCAGGGGAUGACUUGUGGAUAGGGGUGAAAGGCUAAUCAAGCCUGGUGAUAGCUGGUUCUCCCCGAAAGCUAUUUAGGUAGCGCCUCGGACGAAUACCAUAGGGGGUAGAGCACUGUUUCGGCUAGGGGGUCAUCCCGACUUACCAAACCGAUGCAAACUCCGAAUACCUAU
rnacentral:rRNA from 1 species